AGAGAAAGACGACUGAAUUUGAAGAAAUUCAACAAAAAAUGUGUUUUACUUAAGCUGUCCAUCUUAUUUUUAUAAUCUAUUCGUUAGAGUCUCGUAGCUCAGCUGGUUAGAGCGCUACACUGAUAAUGUAGAGGUCGGCAGUUCGAGCCUGCCCGAGACUACUUUUUGAUAGAUCAUUUAUGGAAAUUUAGAGGCUGGGAAACUUUUAUCUUUUUCCGUUCUUUUUUUUCAGAAUGGGGGAUUAGCUCAGCUGGCUAGAGCGCCUGCCUUGCACGCAGGAGGUCAUCGGUUCGACUCCGAUAUUCUCCACAAAGGUUUUUUUAAACCGCACGUUCAUUGACAUAUUGAAUUAUUUAAGAUACAUAAAAAUAAAAGGUAUAAAUUAUUAAUCGAGCCGAUUAAUAAUUUGUACGAGCAAAGUAAAAAUUACAAUUUUAAGAGAAAGUAAAGUUAC
rnacentral:tRNA from 1 species